CUACGAAACCUUCCCGUUUCAAUCUUAUCUUUCCAUUGACUUUCUUCCAGUUCUAUUUUCAGUUGGAAAAAUUUCCGAGUAAAAGCUUCAAAAAUGAGGUUGACCGCCCUUGGAAAAAAGCAUGUGGAAGUCUGUCUCAAAUGGGUACCGUCAGUGUUUACCUUCGGCACCGCUGCAGCUCUCACAGUCACAUAUGCUACAGACUGGAAAGCGGUCUUACAAUACGUACCUUACUACAAUGGAAAAUUCACUGAAGAAUAGUUUGCCCUUUGACAUCGUAAGAAUAGAAGCAUGUCGCAGGCCAUCUCAAAUAUUUGCAAUAUAAUUUCAUUCGGUCACGAUCCCAACAGGCCUGAACUGGACGAUCAACAGUGCGCAUUAAAAUUCUAGAUGAAAAGAAAUAAAUUGUUUCACUUUGUAUAAUUUUGUUGUAGAAAAAAAAAA